CAGCAGCCGCGGUAAUACAGAGGAUGCAAGCGUUAUCCGGAAUGAUUGGGCGUAAAGCGUCUGUAGGUGGCUUUUCAAGUCCGCCGUCAAAUCCCAGGGCUCAACCCUGGACAGGCGGUGGAAACUACCAAGCUGGAGUACGGUAGGGGCAGAGGGAAUUUCCGGUGGAGCGGUGAAAUGCGUAGAUAUAUGGAGGAACACCGGUGGCGAAAGCGGCUCUCUGGCUUGUAACUGACGCUGAGGCUCGAAAGCGUGGGGAGCAAACAGGAUUAGAUACCCCGGUAGUCCCUGUCUCUUAUAC
rnacentral:rRNA from 1 species